AGGACGAACGCUGGCGGCGUGCUUAACACAUGCAAGUCGAACGAGGUGCUUGCACCUAGUGGCGAACGGGUGAGUAACACGUGAGCAACCUGCCCUUGGCUCUGGGAUAGCCUCCGGAAACGGGGAUUAAUACCGGACAUGACCUUGGUCUGCAUGGACUGAGGUGGAAAGUUUUUCGGCCAGGGAUGGGCUCGCGGCCUAUCAGCUUGUUGGGGGGGUAACGGCCCACCAAGGCGACGACGGGUA
rnacentral:rRNA from 1 species